GAUAGUAGCGAGAUGGAGAGCGAGGGAGGAUUGGAGGUGAGGCCGGCCUGUCAGUUCUUCCUCCGGUUGUACUUCGCCAUGAUCAAGCUCUAAUCAAGUUUGUUAAUGGGAUGGCUCUUGUAAUCUACUUCUAAUUCAUUAUGCAAUUACUAAUCAUGUAUGUUCUGGUUCACAACUCUUUUGAGUACUUCUAAUCUGUAGGACGCUAUAGGUGAGAGUUGUAGUAUAGGUGUAAGCGAGGUGCUUAGACCUAGAUUACUUGUGGAUAUCCCCUGUCUAGCUGGAUCGUGUGGUAGGCCGCGUAGGUGACAGUUAUGUUGGUCCCUUGUAGUCCACCUCCUGUUAGCAGGACGGGUAUGGUUUAUUGGCCUAUGGAUAAGCAUCCUUUGUGGUGUAUUCUUAUCACGUGGUUCGUCCCAGACAUAGAAAUACCCCUUUGAAGUAGAGAAACCAUAGUUAUCCUCUCUAUUCUGCUACCAUCGCCCAUAUACUAGAUUGCUCUACUUUCUAUUCCCAUAUUACCACCUAUUGUUAUCUUACCUUUAAUAUUGUUCUUAUUUAAUUCUAUCAUCUUUCCUAUUUACACCUAUCUAUCUAUCUUGGUUAAGUUAGAGCGUAGUUGGUUCUCCCGUUUCCCUAUGGAUACGAUAAAACCUUUAACCGUGUAAAAGCUUCAACGGUAUGCGUGCGCUUGCGGAUUAUCUGUGUGUGUAUAAAUACCAUAGUACACUCUAGUGCCAUGCUGGGGAUGACAACCUAGUAUUCAGUGGUGUUAGCAAGUGUCAACAAGCAUUUUUGGCGCCGUUGCCGGGGAAACGGUUGCUGAGCUGACUACGAACUAGCUUAAUCUUUUUUAAAAAAAUAAAAAAAAAAUAUUUUUCCUUUUAUCCUUUGCCUUAUCUCUGCUAAUCUUUCUUCUUAUCUAAUCCUUGAUCUCUUGUCUAUCAUGAAUUCAAACAUGUCUAUCUAUGAAUUUCAUAGACCUACGAGCACACAUCUCGAACCACCAAAAUCUUCAAAGCCUAUCAUAGCAUCUAGUUUGAGAUAGACCCCGAAUACAUAGAAUUUGUUCAAAAACAACCUUUCUCAGGAGAAGGUGAAGAAAACCCAUACACACACCUAAGAGAGUUUUAUCGAGUCUGUGACCUCCUUCGCAUACAAGGCAUGUCUGAUGAGACCCUUAAAUGGAAGCUCUUUCUGUUCUCUUUAACAGGAAAAGCUAGACAUUGGUACAAACUCAAAGUAGGGAG
rnacentral:lncRNA from 1 species